UACGAAGGGGGCUAGCGUUGCUCGGAAUCACUGGGCGUAAAGCGCACGUAGGCGGACUCUUAAGUCGGUGGUGAAAUCCUGGAGCUCAACUCCAGAACUGCCUUCGAUACUGAGAGUCUCGAGUCCGGGAGAGGUAAGUGGAACUGCGAGUGUAGAGGUGAAAUUCGUAGAUAUUCGCAAGAACACCAGUGGCGAAGGCGGCUCACUGGCCCGGUACUGACGCUGAGGUGCGAAAGCGUGGGGAGCAAACAGG
rnacentral:rRNA from 1 species